rnacentral:rRNA from 1 species
GAUGAACGCUGGCGGCGUGCCUAAUACAUGCAAGUCGAGCGAACAGACGAGGAGCUUGCUCCUCUGACGUUAGCGGCGGACGGGUGAGUAACACGUGGAUAACCUACCUAUAAGACUGGGAUAACUUCGGGAAACCGGAGCUAAUACCGGAUAACAUGUUGAACCGCAUGGUUCAACAGUGAAAGACGGUCUUGCUGUCACUUAUAGAUGGAUCCGCGCCGCGUUAGCUAGUUGGUAAGGUAACGGCUUACCAAGGCAACGAUGCGUAGCCGACCUGAGAGGGUGAUCGGCCACACUGGAACUGAGACACGGUCCAGACUCCUACGGGAGGCAGCAGUAGGGAAUCUUCCGCAAUGGGCGAAAGCCUGACGGAGCAACGCCGCGUGAGUGAAGAAGGUCUUCGGAUCGUAAAACUCUGUUAUUAGGGAAGAACAAAUGUGUAAGUAACUAUGCACGUCUUGACGGUACCUAAUCAGAAAGCCACGGCUAACUACGUG